rnacentral:rRNA from 1 species
CUAAUACCGCAUGAAGCAGGGGCCCCGCAUGGGGAUAUUUGCUAAAGAUUCAUCGCUGAUAGAUAGGCAUGCGUUCCAUUAGGCAGUUGGCGGGGUAACGGCCCACCAAACCGACGAUGGAUAGGGGUUCUGAGAGGAAGGUCCCCCACAUUGGUACUGAGACACGGACCAAACUCCUACGGGAGGCAGCAGUGAGGAAUAUUGGUCAAUGGCCGAGAGGCUGAACCAGCCAAGUCGCGUGAGGGAUGAAGGUUCUAUGGAUCGUAAACCUCUUUUAUAAGGGAAUAAAGUGCGGGACGUGUCCCGUUUUGUAUGUACCUUAUGAAUAAGGAUCGGCUAACUCCGUGCCAGCAGCCGCGGUAAUACGGAGGAUUCGAGCGUUAUCCGGAUUUAUUGGGUUUAAAGGGUGCGUAGGCGGCCUUUUAAGUCAGCGGUGAAAGUCUGUGGCUCAACCAUAGAAUUGCCGUUGAAACUGGGGGGCUUGAGUAUGUUUGAGGCAGGCGGAAUGCGUGGUGUAGCGGUGAAAUGCAUAGAUAUCAC